rnacentral:rRNA from 1 species
GGCUCAGGAUGAACGCUAGCGGCAGGCUUAACACAUGCAAGUCGAGGGGCAACGCGAGUAGCAAUACUUGGCGGCGACCGGCGCAAGGGUGCGUAACGCGUGAGCAACAUGCCCGUAUCAGGGGGAUAAUCCAGGGAAACUUGGUCUAAUACCCCAUAGUAAUUUUGUAAGGCAUCUUAUAAGAUUUAAAGCUUUGGUGGAUACGGAUUGGCUCGCGUGACAUUAGCUGGAUGGUAAGGUAACGGCUUACCAUGGCUAUGAUGUCUAGGGGUUCUGAGAGGAAGGUCCCCCCACACUGGAACUGAGACACGGUCCAGACUCCUACGGGAGGCAGCAGUGAGGAAUAUUGGACAAUGGAUGGAAAUCUGAUCCAGCCAUGCCGCGUGAAGGAAAAGAAGGUCCUAUGGAUUGUAAACUUCUUUUGUAUGGGAGCAAUAAGGCCUACGAGUAGGUUGAUGAGAGUACCAUACGAAUAAGCACCGGCUAACUCCGUGCCAGCAGCCGC